AAAAAAAACUACAAUUUAUUUAGGUUUAGGCAAUAAAUAACUACGAACACAAAGACACCUACACGUUGUUGGUUUCACGCGGGAUGCAAACUCCGGUCUCCUGCGUGAAAACCCUGUUUUUUGUGUCCCCUAUUUAUCCACAUCCAUGGGGCUUAUAGCGACUGAUAACGCCUAUUUAAUAGCCUGACAACAGUCUAAUUGGCUGACUCGGCUGAAAUAGCAAGGGAAUCGUUCUGUGUGAGGCCUACAUUUAGCUGUGUAGCAUCUAUUUUUAUUCAUGCUUUAACCUUUUUUUUUUUUUUUUGUCAAAUUCUGAAAUGUACCCACGAGGAAAUGUGCAAUAGAUAAGAAACACAUUAUGCUUCAACAAGAGGAAAAAUAUCACAGGUCUUGUGAACAAUGCCAUUUCAUCUGUUGGGAGUAGAUAUUCCCGGUCACACUGCCAGUCAUGAGCUUUUUACCAUCAUUUCAAGUGUAUCAUUUUAAGUCGAUCUUAAAGAGCAGGUGUGAACGGCCCUUAUAAACGCGUUGGAAAAAAACUUGUUGGACCAAAGCAGUCGUAUGUGACAUCUCAUUAUCUCCUGACGUGAUGGACUUUUCUAAUAACUAGCAUGAGAAUCUCUGCUCCUCCUGCCGCGGAUCAGCAGUGGACAGUGAUUUUUUGAAUGGCAUGGCAGAAACCCGCUGACCCAUUCUGUAUUGACAUUACAGCCAUCCGGAGAGUCAUGGGCCCAUCAUCAGGGGCCUCAGUGGCCCUGCUCUGAGCUGUCACGUUCGUGCCUGAAUGGAAUUUUGAUAGUUUCUUGUUUUUGCGUUGUUGUUGUUGUUGUUUUCUUCUCUUUUUGCUGUUUUGCUUUCUGGAGUGUGUCCUCUCUGUACCCACGCCGAUGCCUCUCUUGACAUUUACCCCCAUCAUCGUCAAACCGAGUCAGACUUUUUCCUCACCGAUCACCAUGGCGAAGGUGACAUUUGGAACCGGGAGAGUAAACAAGAGAGCGGGGAGAUGAACGCCCCUUCAGGCCAUUUUAGUUCAAUCCAUCAACUUCCAGGAUGUACGCCAAAAAUAGAAAAACCUUUAUUUUUCUCUUUGCUUAGCCCCAGGCAGGCCUUAUCCAUGUGCUACAGGUGAAUACGUGCUAAAGACUUCCUGAGUGUACAGGCCAAUACACAGAGUUCCCUCUAUUGUUAGGGGAGCUUAUGUCCAUAAAUCCUUUUGUUGAGAUAGUAUUUAGUUAAACUCCACCUUAAAGGUACAGUAAUGGAAGAGAACAGAGAGCAAUACCCUGAUUUGCUUUCUUGAUGAGAGUUAGAUGAGAAGAUUGAUGCCACUCUCAUGAUGUUAAGACGUGUCAUUUAAAGAACCCCUCUACUCAAAAAUAAGCUUUGCUCAUUGUUACCUCACUCGGAUGUUUGACCUUCACUGUGCCGAAUGAUGUAUGUCCAGAGUUCGACUCAUUAGAUUCAUCUGCCGAAGGGACAAAAAGUUUCUCUGAGCUCUCGUUAAAUUUCAGUUUAAGGCGUGUACGUACAGCGUGAUUUUGUGACAUCACAACAUCGUGGUCCAACUUUUGCAAGUGUGAUGUGCAAACUUGGAGCCUACAUUGAACAGAGAAUUCAGUAAAGUAGGAGAAAUUUGAGAAGUUCAACUUUUGACGCAAGUAAUACUUAAAAAAUAAAUAAAUAAAAAAUGAGGCGGAGAGAGUAGAUGCAAUUGUACAAAUUUUUAACGAGGUAAUUUAACAGUGUUGUUGAUAAACCAUAAGGGACAAAUUAUGUAUUUGUAUUUUUGAAUGUUUUUAACCAUGUCUGUAGGGAAUCUUUAAAUAUGAAGCUAAAGACAUGAGACGGUUAGCUUAGCUUAGCUUAGCUUAGCUUAGCCUUGACCUCAUGAUGUUUUCCAUCGAGGUCAAGCAAAAGUGGUUAGGAAAGACAUUUGUCAUUUUUUGUGACUAUUGGACCACAGCCUGUGAGUAGGGUGGACAUCUAGCCUGUGGAAAGAUUAAACAGAAGUUCAGUUCUUACUAAUUAACACUUGUUAAAAACGACAACAUUGUGGUUUUACACUUGGUUGACGAAAAGAUGCCAGGAAGUCACUGCACCCGGCCAAGAAAUAGCACAUUACCCCCCAUAAACACUUACUCUUUAGUUUUUGAAUGGUUCAAACUAAAUGAGACGUACCCUGAUAAGUAAUGAGCUUUAGAGGUGCUGGUAGAUUUCUUUGGACAGAAGUUUACCUGUUUCCAGUCUUUUUGCUACGCUAAGCUAACUAUCUCCUGGCUUUAGCUUUGUGUUUAGCGCGGUAAUAUAUAUAUAUCUAACUGUAUCAAUCUUCUCAUCUAACUCUCUGCAAGAAACUAAAUAAGUGUAUUUCCCAAAAAUGUCUAUAACUGUAUCUUUAAGUUACAGGCUUCUUCUUUUUUUCAAUCAUACCAGCUCAGCCUAUUUCAGCCGCACCGCUCUUAAACCUGCGUGCAUCCACGCGGCAGAAUGGAAAUGGAAUUUGGCGGUGGUAAUAUUUUUUUUUUGCAUUCCGCUGUGUGCGCACAUGCCAACACACACUCGACGAUGAUGAUGAGGAGUCAUUCACGCCACAGGAAAUAUGAGUUUCUCGACCCGAAGGCCAGCCUUGUGUGAGACAGCUCCGCUACGCCGGCGCCCUGUUUUAUCCCUCGCUCUCUUUUUAUUUAGACAAAUGGACGGCACCUCUCAGGCGUGAAGCACCUUGGGCUCUGUAAUCCCAAACACUAGCUGCUGCUGCUGCCAUGGCGUAUUACUCCCUGGCUACACUUCCUUUCUUCUCUUUCCUUCUUCUCUCUCCUUCCUCGACACAGCUGAGCAGUCUAUUCCCGGUGAAAUGAUUGAGAUAUGUAGGAGGGGUUUGGGCGGGGGUGGGGAUGUGUGUGUGUUUUUGCAUGAUGAGAUGGAUUGUUUGCAGGUGCACUCAGGAGAAGAGAAUUUGGAGGUCAAGGAGGAGAUUUGCGAGAGCAGGAUGCAGGGAGGCACGAGAUGGAUCAGAUAGUGGAUUCUAGGAGACAAGGUGAGAGUGAGGUGAGAGGAGCUCUGCUUUGAUAGGAGGGAGAUGAAAGGCUAGUGGGCACUGUUUCCACUCUAAAAAACUACAAGUCCUUCCAACUCCUUCCAACACCUCCAUCAAACCCCAAAAACCUAAUGAGCUCUCCGCUCCCCAACCCGAGCUGUGAUCUCAUUACUCCCAAAACAAUGUUUUAAUUGCGGCACUGGAUGUUUUUCAAGCUGCUUUGCAAGAAACUGCAAAGUCAGUGAGAGACAAAUGAGUUCACACUACAGAAGCUUCUCUCACUCUCACUUUCACUUCGUCCAUAGAAUAACUUUAAAAACGGAUCCUAAGUCUGAUUGUAGCUUCUUUUUACUGUCAGCGUCUUCAGAUCUUAUGUAGCCCUGAGGGUGUGAGAGUUUGAGCUCGCUGUUGAAAAAGUUUCUUUUUUUUUUGGAAUAAGACAAAAAAAAAAAAAGGGCUUUACAUGGUGGAUUCCCGACUCUUUUUUUGCCUUAUUCCUCUGUUUUUUUGUUGAGAAAAUAAUUGAAUGUUGUAAAAGUGUAACGCAGGAUUUGAAGCGUUUGUUCACAUCUAAUGAAGCAAGCUUUAAUUCAUAAUGGAUAGGGGCUUCAAAAGUCAACAGCAGCCAGCUCUGGAGUGGAGUGAUUGCUGAGUUUCUAAAGGCUUGAUAGAAGGAGGGGUAGGUUUGAUAUGAAAGUUUCAGUAAGUGCGUGGGAGCAGGUUUUGAGGUAUUUAGGGAGAUGAUUUUGUAGGUUUUUUUAAUUAAUAUGUAGUUUUUGUUUGAGUGUGAGAGAAGAAAGGAAAGAGUAAGCAAAGCUGCAGGGCUUGGGGUAAAAAAAAAAAAAAAUCCCAAGCCUGUGAAUAAGGGAACGCUGAUUAUUUAUGUCAUUCUGAAAACUUCCUCACAGAGUCGCAGUUGUUUGACGCGCCAGCGGGCAUCAGCGGGAGCUGUCUCCGAGCUGCACAAAACAGGCUGUGUCGAGGAAUGAGGCGUGCAGCUGUGUCUCUCUGUGGCACUUUUUCUUUGUCUCUGUUUGAAUCCCUGUUUCUAAUUAGCACAACAGUGUGUCUUAAUUAACCUUUGCCAGUCAGACAAUACUCCGGCGCUAACGGCGUCCUAAUCAAGUACACCGCGGCGGCGGCGGCGGCGGCAGCUGCCAUUCUGCGUGGGAACCUCCGGUGCCGGUCGUGGGCUCAGCCAUAUUUUAGCAGUGGAGACGAGCUGUCAAAAGUGAUUGAUGCUGAGUUACAGCUGAGGUAGAUUUAUGAGAAGCCUGUUUUUAGCCCUGGAUGUUGCAUUUAUAGAAUAUAAUUUGUCACCACCCUGCUGUGGAGAGCAGCGUGCCAAAUAAAAAACACUCGGAAGCCCGAUGACAUCACGCUCUUGAUCUGGAAAUUCUGACAAAAACAACCAGCAUGUCAACCACACCAACAAACACAAUAACAACCACAGGCCUUGAGUUGGACCAAAGGAGAUAUGCCAUGAGGAGACUAAAGAGGCUUUAAUCCACUAAAAAUCAUCCAAUGAGGAGCCAUCUACCCUGGUCACAUGAUGAUAAGGCACAUCUGUCCAAAGCAUCAUCACACUGUACGCCACAGAAUAGGACGACGUACAAUGAAGAGCAAAUAAUGUCCAAAUGAAUUUGAUUGGAGACAUUCUGCACAUGUGCAUUCCUUUUGAAAACAGGGCAUUUUCUUAUCUACCGUUUCAUUUUGACAAGUCUUGUUCCCUUUUUUUGUAUCUUGUACAUGUUUACAUUGUAUCUCGCAUUGCCCAAAAAGAGAAACAAUAUUAAAUGUAUUAUCUUUGUUGUUUUAGAA